GACGAACGCUGGCGGCGUGCUUAACACAUGCAAGUCGAACGGAAAGGCCCUGCUUUUGUGGGGUGCUCGAGUGGCGAACGGGUGAGUAACACGUGAGUAACCUGCCCUUGACUUUGGGAUAACUUCAGGAAACUGGGGCUAAUACCGGAUAGGAGCUCCUGCUGCAUGGUGGGGGUUGGAAAGUUUCGGCGGUUGGGGAUGGACUCGCGGCUUAUCAGCUUGUUGGUGGGGUAGUGGCUUACCAAGGCGUUGACGGGUAGCCGGCCUGAGAGGGUGACCGGCCACAUGGGGACUGAGAGACGGCCCAGGCUCCUACGGGAGGCAGGAGUGGGGAAUAUGGCACAAUGGGCGGAAGCCUGAUGCAGCAACGCCGCGUGCGGGAGGACGGCCUUCGGGUUGUAAACCGCUUUCGCCUGUGACGAAGCGUGAGUGACGGUAAUGGGUAAAGAAGCACCGGCUAACUACGU
rnacentral:rRNA from 1 species